GAUUUUUUUCUUUUUUUCUUCUCAAGAGAAAUGGAAAAAGAUCUAGAGAAAGAAAAAGAUGAGAGAUCAAAUUUCUCUUCUUUCUUUUCAUCCAACUCCGGACUGAAUUUGGAGGAAAAAGAGAUGACAUGUUUAACUCUUGGACCAAGAGAGGAAGAGAAGAAAAUGAAGGGAGAAGUGUCCAACUCUUUGGAUGUGUAGAAGAGAAAGAGGGAGAG
rnacentral:lncRNA from 1 species